rnacentral:rRNA from 1 species
GACGAACGCUGGCGGCGUGCUUAACACAUGCAAGUCGAACGGAAAGGCCUGCUUUCCCUUGUGGAUUGCGGGUACUCGAGUGGCGAACGGGUGAGUAACACGUGAGUGAUCUGCCCCCAACUUGGGUAUAAGCCUGGGAAACUGGGUCUAAUUCUCGAUAGGACUGCAGGGUGGUGCCUGUGGUGGAAAAUGAUUUUCUAGUGGUUGGGGAUGAGCUCGCGGCCUAUUAGCUGGUUGGUGGGGUAAUGGCCUACCAAGGCGGCGACGGGUAGCCGGCCUGGGAGGGUGGACGGCGACAUUGGGACUGGGAUACGGCCCAGACUCCUGCGAGAGGCAGCAGUGGGGAAUAUUGCACCAUGGGCGGGAGCCUGAUGCAGCGAGGCCGCGUGGGGGAUGACGGCCUUCGGGUUGUAAACUCCUUUCGAACACAAGGAGGCCACCUGGUUGGAAGGGUGGUGACGGUAGUGGUAGAAGAAGCACCGGCUAACUACGUG